UAUCUGGUUGAUCCUGCCAGUAGUCAUAUGCUUGUCUCAAAGAUUAAGCCAUGCAAGUCUAAGUAUAAGCGUUAUACAGUGAAACUGCGAAUGGCUCAUUAAAUCAGUUAUAGUUUAUUUGAAGAUAAUACCAUUAGGAUAACCGUUGGUAAUUCUAGAGCUAAUACUUGCUUUCUAGGCUUUAUUAGAUAUGAAUCACAAUAACUUCAGAUCGAUUGAACGUCCUUCAUUCAAAUUU
rnacentral:rRNA from 1 species